rnacentral:rRNA from 1 species
UACGUAGGGUCCGAGCGUUGUCCGGAAUUAUUGGGCGUAAAGGGCUCGUAGGCGGUUUGUCGCGUUGUUCGUGAAAACUCACAGCUUAACUGUGGGCGUGCGGGCGAUACGGGCAGACUUGAGUACUGCAGGGGAGACUGGAAUUCCUGGUGUAGCGGUGGAAUGCGCAGAUAUCAGGAGGAACACCGGUGGCGAAGGCGGGUCUCUGGGCAGUAACUGACGCUGAGGAGCGAAAGCGUGGGGAGCGAACAGG